rnacentral:misc_RNA from 1 species
AAAACUUGUGUUCUUUUGAGCAGUAAAUGCAGCAUGGGUUACAUUGUGUCAAUGUCUCUAAAGAAAAGGUAAAAGAAUCAAAAUUUUGUUACAACUUUGCCUUUAGUUUAUUUGACAAAUUAUUAUCCUUUUCAUUAUUUAAAGAACCAACCAAGAGAGCUUCAAAGCAAGGUCGGUGGCCUUUUGUGAGUGUCUAGAGUGGAAAGAGAGAGAAACGAAGGGAAUGGGUGCCAAAGCUCUUUUCUUCUUUGCUUUAUUAUCCUUCUUAGCUGUGUCUCUCAGGCCAGCUUUUGCAGAAGAUGAGGAAGAUCCAGGUCUUAUUAUGAAUUUUUACAGGGACACAUGCCCUCAAGCUGAAGACAUUAUCAGGGAACAAGUUAAGCUUCUGUACAAGAGACACAAGAACACUGCAUUUUCAUGGCUCAGAAACAUCUUUCAUGACUGUGCUGUUCAGUCAUGCGAUGCUUCACUGCUGCUGGACUCAACCAGAAGGACCUUGUCUGAGAAGGAGACAGACAGAAGCUUUGGCCUAAGGAACUUUAGGUACCUUGACACGAUCAAAGAAGCUGUAGAGAGGGAAUGUCCUGGAGUUGUUUCCUGUGCAGACAUCCUUGUGCUGUCUGCUAGAGAUGGCAUUGUUGCGGUAUUUCCCUGGCCUUUUAGCCUUGUCUUUGCUUCUGUUAGUUCUCUGAUGUAGUUUCUUGGUACAGAGUCAUAGUGUUUCUUUUUCUUUUUGGUUUCUAAAUCUGUGCUCUCUCUUUACAUGUUAUUUAAACCUCAUUAAAAUUAGUGUUUUGGGCUGUUUUAGCUUAAAAUUGAAGAAUUUCAAGACUGGAAAGUUACUGCUGAAACUAUAUUAUUUAGUAUAAUUGAUGACAAUGGAACUUUUAAGGCUUUAAUGUGAGCUAAAACUUCGUUGUUUUUCAGCUAGGAGGCCCUCACAUCCCUCUUAAAACUGGAAGAAGAGAUGGCAGGAAGAGCAGAGCAGAUGUGAUCGAACAGUACCUCCCAGACCAUAAUGAGAGCAUCACUGUUGUUCUUGAGAGGUUUGCUGCCAUAGGCAUUGACACCCCUGGCGGGGUUGCCUUACUAGGUACAUGCCACGUAUCUCACAUGCAAAUAGACAUCAAUCCAAGUGGCUUAAUUAAGCAUUAACUCCCUGUUUUUCUUUUUUCUUUCAACACAGGAGCUCACAGUGUGGGCAGAACACACUGUGUGAAGCUGGUGCACCGUCUCUACCCCGAGGUUGAUCCUGUACUAAACCCUGACCAUGUUGAGCACAUGCUCCACAAGUGCCCAGACUCCAUCCCAGACCCUAAGGCCGUGCAAUACGUGAGAAAUGACCGUGGCACACCCAUGAUACUAGACAACAACUACUACAGAAAUAUAUUGGAUAACAAAGGCUUAUUGAUAGUGGAUCACCAGCUAGCCACAGACAAGAGGACAAAGCCUUACGUGAAGAAAAUGGCCAAGAGCCAGGACUACUUCUUUAAGGAAUUUGCUAGGGCUAUCACCAUUCUGUCUGAGAACAACCCACUCACUGGAACCAAAGGUGAGAUCAGAAAGCAGUGCAAUGUCGCUAACAAGCUCCACUAGAAGAUUUAGUUACUUUUCUAGCUCAACUUUUCUUCUUUAUUUAUGAGGAAGAAGAGUAAGAAUUGAAGAAUAAGAUGGCUUUUCUAGAUGGGUUUGGCACUUGCUAGUGCUAGCUAGUGAGUGGAGACCAUGUUGAUUACUUUGAACUGUUAGCCUAGCUAGGUUUGCUUCUCUUCCUGUAGAUAUUAGUGUUGUUGAUGGGCAUGGGCAUGGAUGUAUGUAUCUGUAUGGAUGCAUAGUGUAUGAUGCAUGGACUAUAAUGAGGAUAAGUACUUCUUUUCAUGAUACUUUUCUUUUGGAUUUUCAGUUGAACAGUACCAAAUCAAGCAGAUUUGUAAUCGCUUAAACUUGUAUCUGAAUUUUUCAGAAGCUGGAUUAGAAUCUUUCAUUGAUUUUGAUCAGAAUUAUUAAUUUCAUUCAGCAGUUAGAAAUUCACUAUCAAAGUGGACAUGAUAAAUAAAAGUAGAAAAGAAAAUGACAAAAGGAAGAACUAAUAAGAAUAAAGAAAGGCAUAGGAAAAGAAAGGAUAAGAUUCCCUUAACAAUGCAAGUACAUCUACUAUAAUUCAAUCGAAUUAUAAGGCAAGCUUGAGCUGGUUUUGGUUUGUAAUUCAAUCGAAUUUGAACCGGAUCGAGGGGAAUUAAUUUAUAGAAAUUAUUUUUUUAAUUCACAGUUUGAGCUAGAUUGAACUGUCAAGACGAAUUGCCAAUUCAAGAUUAAGGGAAAGGAGUUAAGG